GCGGAGGCGGCGGGGCCGGCUGGGACGCGGACGGACUCACCUGCCCAGGCGCCCAGCGCCGGCCCGACGGCGGCGGCGCCGCUGCCCAGCACCCAGAGACGGAAGCCGGCCAGCAGGCGAGGACCAGGCAAUAGAGAGAUGGGAUACAGCAAAAGCAUCUGAAAAGAGAAAAGGAACCAGUUUGGCUCUGGUAAGAGAUCUGCUUACAAGUCAAAGACAACACAAGAGCUGAAGUGAGGGAUGGAAGGUAACACUGUGAUCCCCAGGGUCACCACAUGUCGACAACAGGAGUGGCCUGGGCAGCUGGACAGCAUACACAAGCUGGAGGAAAGGAGAUGGGUGUUGGGCAACCUGCUGAAGGGAGCAGGCAGCUUCCUACUGGAUGUCUGUGGAAGCCAUGCCAGAGUUACCACAGGGAUGCUGCCAGUUACAGAUGGGUCAGAAAGAGGGAAGGAAGUAUAUGGGUGCUAUGAAAGAUGCGCUGGCCUUUGCCAGAGCCUACCCGUCUGUUAUUACAACGCCUACUACCCACUGUACUGCAGUUGUGCUGCUCCUGAGACCUCUUAUCUGAACAACCUCUAGUUGCAGGUCAGGAUAGAACCUGCUCUGCUCUUCUCUCAGGGAACCAAUAAAUCCCUUGACAGAGAAGCACAGAUACUGCAAGGCAGUUUUCAAGUUUUCUGUAUUAAAAAAUAAUACUGGUUAUUCAA